rnacentral:rRNA from 1 species
AUUGUGGCCCCAAGUCAGGCGAGGCCACCCGCCGAGUU